CCCUUAGAUGUUCUGGGCCGCACGCGCGCUACACUGACGAAUGCAACGAGCUUGUAACCUUGGCCGAAAGGUCUGGGUAAUCUCCAAAUUUCGUCGUGAUGGGGAUAGAUUAUUGCAAUUAUUAAUCUUCAACGAGGAAUGCCUAGUAAGCGCAAGUCAUCAGCUUGCGUUGAUUACGUCCCUGCCCUUUGUACACACCGCCCGUCGCUCCUACCGAUUGAAUGGUCCGGUGAAGCGUUCGGACCGUGGCCUUUGGACGGUUCGCCGUCUGUUGGCUGCGGGAAGUUCGUUAAACCUUAUCAUUUAGAGGAAGGAGAAGUCGUAACA
rnacentral:rRNA from 1 species